AGGCCAAUCAAACCCGGAGAUAUCUCGUUCUCCCCGAAAUAGCUUUAGGGCUAGCGUCGCGCGUUCACCGCCGGAGGUAGAGCACCGGAUGGACGAGGGGGCUUCGCCGCCUACCGAAUCCAACCGAACUCCGAAUGCCGGCGGCCCAGAGCGCGGCAGUCAGAGCAUGUGGGCUAAGCUGUGUGCUCGAGAGGGAAACAGCCCGGACCGCCCGCUAAGGUCCCCAAGUUCCAGCCGAGUGGCAAAGGAUGUGCGUCCGCCCAGACAACCAGGAUGUUGGCUUAGAAGCAGCCAUCCAUUCAAAGAGUGCGUAACAGCUCACUGGUCGAGUGGACAUGCGCCGACAAUACACGGGGCUAAGCUGGACACCGAAGCGGCGGGAUUUUAAUUCAUUAGAAUCGGUAGGGGAGCUUCCCAUGGGCGGAGAAGCCGGAGGGCGACCGACGGUGGAGCGCAUGGGAGUGAGAAUGCUGGCAUGAGUAGCGAGAGACGAGAGAGUAACUCGUCCGCCGUGAACCCGAGGUUUCCUGGGCAAGGCUAAUCCUCCCAGGGUCAGUCGGGGGCUAAGGCGAGGCCGGUAGGCGUAGCCGACGCGCAGCAGGCAGACAUUCCUGCACCGCGCACGCGGCGCUACGACCGACGGGGCGACGGAUGGGGGUGGCUCGGCGGGGUUCUGGACGUCCCCGUGAUGGAGCGCGGCCCGCGGACCAGGGAAAUCCGGUCCGCACGAAGGGCGAGGCUCCGGACGAAGCGACUGAGCGAAGCGAGUGAGCCCGAGGUCCCUAGAAAAACCCCUAGGCAGGCGCGUGCGCGCCCGUACCGCAAACCGACACAGGUGGGUGGGUAGAACAUACCGAGGCGAUCGGGUCAACCAUGGUCAAGGAACUCGGCACAAUGGCCCCGUAACUUCGGGAGAAGGGGUGCCCGCGCGUACGUGAACCGGCUCGCCCGGGGAGCGGAGGCGGGCCGCAGUGGAGAGGCCCAAGCGACUGUUUACCAAAAACACAGGACUCUGCAGAAGCCGCAAGGCGACGUAUAGGGUCUGACGCCUGCCCGGUGCCGGAAGGUCACGCGGAGGAGUUAGCCGUAUCGGCGAAGCCCCGAAGCCAAGCCCCGGUAAACGGCGGCCGUAACUAUAACGGUCCUAAGGUAGCGAAAUUCCUUGUCGGGUAAGUUCCGACCUGCACGAAAGGCGCAACGACUUGGGCGCUGUCUCGACCAUGGACCCGGUGAAAUUGCACUGGUCGUGAAGAUGCGACUUACCCGCGGAAGGACGGAAAGACCCCGUGAACCUUCACUGCAGCUUGGCAUUGGCCGCUGGUCCCGCGUGUAGAGGAUAGGCAGGAGGCACAGAUCCGGAGGCGCCAGCCCCCGGGGAGCCGCCCUUGGAAUACUGCCCUCGCGCGACCGGCGUCCUAACCCGAGGCCGUCAACCGGCUCGGGGACCGUGCCAGGCGGGCAGUUUGACUGGGGCGGUCGCCUCCUAAAGGGUAACGGAGGCGCGCGAAGGUCCGCUCGGGACGGUCGGCAACCGUCCUUUUGAAUGCAAGAGUACAAGCGGGCUUGACUGCGAGGCCCACAAGCCGAGCAGGUGCGAAAGCAGGCUCUAGUGAUCCGGCGGCCCCGAGUGGGUGGGCCGUCGCUCAACGGAUAAAAGGUACUCCGGGGAUAACAGGCUGAUCUUGCCCAAGAGUCCACAUCGACGGCAAGGUUUGGCACCUCGAUGUCGGCUCAUCGCAUCCUGGGGCUGGAGCAGGUCCCAAGGGUACGGCUGUUCGCCGUUUAAAGCGGUACGCGAGCUGGGUUCAGAACGUCGUGAGACAGUUCGGUCCCUAUCCUCCGUGGGCGCAGGAGAAUCGAUGGAGGCUGCCCCCAGUACGAGAGGACCGGGGUGGACGCACCUCCGGUGAACCGGUUGUCGACCAACGGCACGGCCGGGUAGCCGCGUGCGGCGCGGAUAACCGCUGAAGGCAUCUAAGCGGGAAGCCGUUCCAGGGAUUAGUUCUCCUUCCGGUAAGGGCCCAGGUAGACUACCUGGUCGAUAGACGGCAGGUGCAAGGGCGGCGACGUCCUCAGCCGAGCCGCACUAAUCGCCCGAGCUCUUCCGGAA
rnacentral:rRNA from 1 species